CGGGGGGGGCAAGCGUUGUUCGGAAUUACUGGGCGUAAAGGGCGCGUAGGCGGUUUGCUAAGUUGGAUGUGAAAACUCUGGGCUUAACCCAGAGCCUGCAUCCAAAACUGGCAAGCUGGAGUUUUGGAGGGGGAAGCGGAAUUCCUGGUGUAGCAGUGAAAUGCGUAGAUAUCAGGAGGAACACCGGUGGCGAAGGCGGCUUCCUGGACAAAAACUGACGCUGAGGCGCGAAAGCUAGGGGAGCAAACAGGAUUAGAUACCCUGGUAGUCCUAGCCCUAAACGAUGGAUACUUGCUGUGAGGGGGAUUGAAUCCCUUCGUGGCGAAGCUAACGCAUUAAGUAUCCCGCCUGGGGAGUACGGUCGCAAGGCUG
rnacentral:rRNA from 1 species